rnacentral:rRNA from 1 species
UGUGUAGGCGGUUAUGUAAGAUAGCGGUGAAAUCCCGGGGCUUAACCUCGGAAUAGCCGUUAUAACUAUGUAGCUAGAGUUAUGGAGAGGAUAGCGGAAUACCCAGUGUAGAGGUGAAAUUCGUAGAUAUUGGGUAGAACACCGGUGGCGAAGGCGGCUAUCUGGCCAUAUACUGACGCUGAGGCACGAAAGCAUGGGGGAUCAAACA